UUGGAGAUGCCGGGGAUCGAACCCGGGGCCUCAUACAUGCAAAGCAUGCGCUCUACCACUGAGCUACAUCCCCCGCCCUCCGGGCCCCGCGGAUGCAGGAAGUGGCGGCCUUUCUCCACCUGCACGUGUUCCUUCCUUUCGGGGUGCUCAGCGCCUCCGAGGACCGGAGCAGGUCCCUCCGCGCAGGGGAGAAGCCCGCCCGCCCCCCGACGCAGGCGGAGACCGCGGGGAGCGAUGCGCGAGGCAGCGGAAGAAGGCGGUUUCUAUAGGGACAGGUGUGGAGGGGCUCUAGCAUGGCUCGUCCUCGUUAGUAUAGUGCGCCUACCCCGAUGCGGCCAUAACAGGUGUAGCUCCUCCUGCCACCACCUGGAGGUGCGGUUUCCCCCACAGUGGAGAUCCGUCCUUCCUCAAGCCUGGAACGUUCCAGAGGUGCUUUUGCUGGAGGAGGCGAACGGGAGCAACUCGCAGGACAACGUGGAGAAGGCAGAACAGGCGUGAUGGUGGGAACCACAGCGACCCUGGGCAGAGUGUCCCCUUGGGCAGUGACAGCGCCUGCAGAGAGGCCUGCGGGGUGGGGCUGAUUCCCGCCGCCGGGGUGAUGUGUAGUCCGUGGUCAGAGGUCUGUGCCGGCCUUGCCCUUCGCCCUCUGUGCUGCCAGCAACAGCCUUUUUCAGAGGGAGCCGCCCAAAGGAGACUGGCUUUCCCAGCAGAGGGCUUGCUCCCUGCUUCAUCAGUAACAGGACCAGAAUGAAUGAAUGAAUGAGUGAAUGAAUGAAGUGCAUGAACUCUUUAUACGUGUACACUGCAUUUAAUCACUAAAAAUGAAAGCCAUUUUUCAUUAAAUGAAGGGGUCCUGUUGCA